GAGAUAUCACCUCCAUGUGUACACCUGUGUGUACAAGUAUUCUUUUUUUUUUUUUUUUGAGACUUGUAGCAUUUACUGCCACUUAAUUGGGUUGAACUUGCAAGAUAAACUUUUAGAAACUGCUUAGUGCCAUCGGAGUCUCCUUUAGAAGCUGCCAUCAGGCAAAUGCUAUCCCAUAAUACCAGCAGUAAGGCAGGCACAAUGUUCAACAGAUUUAGUACCCAAGAGUCAUAUGUAGUGGAAUAAAUACUAGCCUAGGAAGAAGGAGCCCUGGAGUCUAAUAUGAGCUUUAUUACUAAAUUGCCAUGUGACCUUCGACAAGUCACUUAACCUCUCCAUGGCUGUUUCCUUAUCUGUAAAAUAAGUGUAUUGGACUAGAUAAUCCUUAGGGUCUUUCCAAAAGUCUAACAUUCUAUGGCAUUGUAGGUUGCCUUGAAAAUUCAGCCUGCUAUAGUGAUGGCAAAUAUCACAUGUUUAAGCCUGAGUCUCUUAUGUUGCAGUUAGAUAAAAAAAAGUAUGUAAAAUGAUUUUUAAAAUUCAAGCAAAUGGGCUGGGUGCGAUGGCUCACACCUGUAAUCCCAGAACUUUGGGAGGCCAAGGCAGGUGGAUAACCUGAGGCCAGGAGUUUGAGACCAGCCUGACCAACAUAGAGACACCCCAUCUCUACUAAAAAUACAAAAUUAGCUGGGUGUGGUGGCAGGCGCCUGUUAUCCCAGCUACUUGGGAGGCUGAGGUGGGAGAAUCGCUUGAACCUGGGAGGUGGAGGUUGCAGUGAGCUGAGAUCAUGCCAUUGCACUCCAGCCUGGGCAACAAGAGUGAAACUCCGUCUCAACAACAACAACAAAAUAAAUCAAGCAAAUGAAGUUCAUAAUAAUAGGGGAUGUUGAUAAAAUUUGUGGCAGUCUUCCAAUUCGUUUACAGUUGUUUCAUUUUGUUUUUGUUCUAAUGUCCAUUUUCUGUUGACUGUUCCCAGUUUUCAUUUUCCAUACAGUCUGUAUGUAAAGUCUGGUUUUCCUUAAGCUGUGACCAGUAUUUGCUGCUAAAACAGAAACACACUGUCACACUUGCUAGAAUAUAACUGUGCUUGGGCUUCUCCUUUCCUGUGAAGUAGUGCUGGGCUUUCUAGAGUUCAAUUCUCAAGUGGCACAAGAUAGCAGAGCCCAUGCAUUUCAAUGGCUGAGACUAUUAAGAGUGAACCUAAACAUUUACAAGUUGCAGAGAGAAAUGAAAAAGUAAUUACAUGCUAUUAGCAUUCAGAAGUGUUGACAAAUUCAUUUGUUGGGAACCAAAGAUAGCAUUUCUGAUGACAACUCCCACAGUGAUUGGCCAGUUGUAUGAUGAGUACACUGCUGGAAAGAGGGUAAACUGGGAGUUAGUUAGUGGAUGGUCCCAAUUCCCUGCCUACAGCAGAGUGCCAACCAGCCCUGAGUGCAAAAUUCGAGUUCAAUGUGUGUUCUUGUGUGUGGUGUGCUUUAUGGACCCGCAAAUACUAUAUUCAUUAUUGAUGAUAAGAUCUUCACAGAAUCCUGUAACUACUAAUGCAUUGAGUUUUUAAUCUCAGUACAUCAGCCAAGAGGAACCAGAUCACAGGGUAGUGAUGUCUACUGGGAUGAUACUCAUAACAUCUACACAAAACAAGUUGAGAAGGAUCCACAUUUUCAUUGUUUAUCAGAAUUGUAUCUCAAUUGGCUGAGCAUUACUUUUGUCAAAAUGUGUUAUCUGUAAACCAUGUGUAGUGAAAUUCUUCUGUAACUUUGGAUUAAAGGUAUUUAUGGUCUUUUUGUUUGUUUGAUUUUUAAGUAAGUUAUUUCUUUUGUCGACCUGCUGAUGGUAUGGUUCCAUCCUUCUGACCUCAGCAUCCAAUCUUUUUAAGGAUUUUUGUUUUCAAUAUUGUUAUUUUAAAUUGUGGUUGAAGCAAUAGAAAAUUGAAAUAUGGAUUGUGCAUGACUGUGUCUUGAGUGUAAAAAUAUUGCAGUUUGAAACUUGGACCUAAAGUAUUGCAAAUAAAAAUGACAAACAUCA
ensembl:lncRNA